AUGGCGGAGGGCCUAAGAAAAAGAUGCAAAAAUGAAGGAAAUUUGAUGGAGUCAAAUGGUGGUAAAACCAAGAUGAGCAGCUCGGGCACGUCGCUAGCUUUUCAACGAGCCAAAGAACACCCAAAUCGGAGUUCGGGAGUGGAAGUUAUGACCAAAAACGUAAAGUGGGCGCAGCUGAUUCUGGGAGGGCCGUGCGCACGGGGUCCAAGGCUCGUGGACACGGGGUCCCGUGCGCACGGUACACGUACCGAGGACACGGGGUCACCAGAGACUUCGCGGGGGCCCGUGGGCACGGGGUGGGGAGCUCGUGGGCAUGGGGUAGGCGGAAAAUUCACAAUUUUCUUGUCAAAUUCGAAGGGGGGGAGAAAAAUUGGGGUAUGGAGACGCAAUAGGAGUUAG
rnacentral:rRNA from 1 species